GAAGUGGCCCCUGGGCUCAGCUCCUCUUCCUGUGUGGACUCCCAGCCUGGCUGUAAGACCGAGAAUGAAGGAAAAAAAAAAACAUGGAGAAAAGUUCCCGGGCGCUCUGUGUUGACGGGAACUCUUAGUUACUCUGCACCGGCCAGUGACCUAAUAUCGGAGACUACAGUCUCAAGCUGACCUUUUCCUAAGUGUAAAGACGCUUUGCAGGAAGAAAAAGUCUAAUUAGACCCUGGCCACGAGAUGCAUGGCUUUGUUGUGUGCUGCUCAUCUGCCACCAGAGGCUUCAUGCCACGUGUGUCUGCAGACACGACCCGACACCUCCAAACUUAAUUCAUCCUUGUGAGACCUCGAGUGCAGAACAGACUCUUGAAGGAGUGAACGCAUUCAAGACUUAUAUGUUAACUCAAUAAGAAUUAAUACAAGAACUUCAUAGCUCCCAAACUAGCUCACCUCCAUUCUUGCACAGUUUUGCUUCUCAGGCACGAAUUUCCUGCCCACCACCACCAUUACACUGCAGAGCACAGGAACACCAAAAUCAAAAGAACAGGAACUGAACUUUCGGAAGCCAGUGUGAACUCCAAAUUAAAAGGUCAAGAAGUAGAUAUUACUGUCAUCAUUAGGAAGUGAAACUAAUAAUGCAAAAACCAGAGAGACUGGCCGUCUCUGCUCUCAGAGU